rnacentral:rRNA from 1 species
GACAGAGGGGGCUAGCGUUGCUCGGAAUCACUGGGCGUAAAGGGUGCGUAGGCGGGUUUUUAAGUCAGGGGUGAAAUCCUGGAGCUCAACUCCAGAACUGCCUUUGAUACUGAAGAUCUUGAGUUCGGGAGAGGUGAGUGGAACUGCGAGUGUAGAGGUGAAAUUCGUAGAUAUUCGCAAGAACACCAGUGGCGAAGGCGGCUCACUGGUCCGGUACUGACGCUGAGGUGCGAAAGCGUGGGGAGCAAACAGG